CUUUUCCUUCGGUAUUGUGCUUCUAGAAUUGAUUACGGGAAAACUAGCCUUUUUUGAAGAGAAACGCGAGGAAUAUAUUCGCUUAGCCGUUUGGGCAAUCCAUCUACUCAAACAAGUUUUGGAUACAGACGAACAAGAUUUGGACGCAGAGAAUUGUAAAGAUCUUUUUGAUUCCAAAUUACAAAAAAAAUAUAAUAAAGAUGAAAUGAUGCGGAUGAUUUAUUGUGCUGCGACAUGUAUAUAUAAAUCUAUGAAAUUACGCCAAAAAAUGAGUCAGAUAGUUGAAGUAUUAAAAGGAAAUAUGGAACCGAAGAAUAUAUGGGCAAAAAAUGACAGCAAGUACGUAUACGAAGGGUCA
rnacentral:misc_RNA from 1 species